rnacentral:rRNA from 1 species
GACGAACGCUGGCGGCGUGCUUAACACAUGCAAGUCGAACGGAAAGGCCCUGCUUUUGUGGGGUGCUCGAGUGGCGAACGGGUGAGUAACACGUGAGUAACCUGCCCUUGACUUUGGGAUAACUUCAGGAAACUGGGGCUAAUACCGGAUAGGAGCUCCUGCUGCAUGGUGGGGGUUGGAAAGUUUCGGCGGUUGGGGAUGGACUCGCGGCUUAUCAGCUUGUUGGUGGGGUAGUGGCUUACCAAGGCUUUGACGGGUAGCCGGCCUGAGAGGGUGACCGGAUGCAGUGGGAAAGAGUGGAGGCUGGGCGGGAGAGGGGCGGCGGCGGGGGGGAAGGGUGGAGAGUGGGUGGGGGUUGGAGGCAGCAAGGGCGUGGGAGGGAGGAUGGGGUGCGGUAAGUAAAAAGGAUGCGCCUGUGAAGAAGGGGGAGGAAGGGAAAGGGAUAAAGAGGAAAGGGCUAGGUGGGGG